UACAGAGGUCUCAAGCGUUGUUCGGAUUCAUUGGGCGUAAAGGGUGUGUAGGUGGCGCGCUAAGUCGGGUGUGAAAUUUCGGAGCUUAACUCCGAAACUGCAUUCGAUACUGGCGUGCUUGAGGACUGGAGAGGAGACUGGAAUUCCUGGUGUAGCGGUGAAAUGCGCAGAUAUCAGGAAGAACACCCGUGGCGAAAGCGGCUCUCUGGAACGGUACUGACGCUGAGACGCGAAAGCGUGGGGAGCGAACAGG
rnacentral:rRNA from 1 species